GUAUCCUGUCUGAAUAUGGGGGGACCAUCCUCCAAGGCUAAAUACUCCUGACUGACCGAUAGUGAACCAGUACCGUGAGGGAAAGGCGAAAAGAACCCCGGCGAGGGGAGUGAAAAAGAACCUGAAACCGUGUACGUACAAGCAGUGGGAGCACGCUUAGGCGUGUGACUGCGUACCUUUUGUAUAAUGGGUCAGCGACUUAUAUUCUGUAGCAAGGUUAACCGAAUAGGGGAGCCGAAGGGAAACCGAGUCUUAACUGGGCGUUAAGUUGCAGGGUAUAGACCCGAAACCCGGUGAUCUAGCCAUGGGCAGGUUGAAGGUUGGGUAACACUAACUGGAGGACCGAACCGACUAAUGUUGAAAAAUUAGCGGAUGACUUGUGGCUGGGGGUGAAAGGCCAAUCAAACCGGGAGAUAGCUGGUUCUCCCCGAAAGCUAUUUAGGUAGCGCCUCGUGAAUUCAUCUCCGGGGGUAGAGCACUGUUUCGGCAAGGGGGUCAUCCCGACUUACCAACCCGAUGCAAACUGCGAAUACCGGAGAAUGUUAUCACGGGAGACACACGGCGGGUGCUAACGUCCGUCGUGAAGAGGGAAACAACCCAGACCGCCAGCUAAGGUCCCAAAGUCAUGGUUAAGUGGGAAACGAUGUGGGAAGGCCCAGACAGCCAGGAUGUUGGCUUAGAAGCAGCCAUCAUUUAAAGAAAGCGUAAUAGCUCACUGGUCGAGUCGGCCUGCGCGGAAGAUGUAACGGGGCUAAACCAUGCACCGAAGCUGCGGCAGCGACGCUUAUGCGUUGUUGGGUAGGGGAGCGUUCUGUAAGCCUGUGAAGGUGUACUGUGAGGUAUGCUGGAGGUAUCAGAAGUGCGAAUGCUGACAUAAGUAACGAUAAAGCGGGUGAAAAGCCCGCUCGCCGGAAGACCAAGGGUUCCUGUCCAACGUUAAUCGGGGCAGGGUGAGUCGACCCCUAAGGCGAGGCCGAAAGGCGUAGUCGAUGGGAAACAGGUUAAUAUUCCUGUACUUGGUGUUACUGCGAAGGGGGGACGGAGAAGGCUAUGUUGGCCGGGCGACGGUUGUCCCGGUUUAAGCGUGUAGGCUGGUUUUCCAGGCAAAUCCGGAAAAUCAAGGCUGAGGCGUGAUGACGAGGCACUACGGUGCUGAAGCAACAAAUGCCCUGCUUCCAGGAAAAGCCUCUAAGCAUCAGGUAACAUCAAAUCGUACCCCAAACCGACACAGGUGGUCAGGUAGAGAAUACCAAGGCGCUUGAGAGAACUCGGGUGAAGGAACUAGGCAAAAUGGUGCCGUAACUUCGGGAGAAGGCACGCUGAUAUGUAGGUGAAGUCCCUCGCGGAUGGAGCUGAAAUCAGUCGAAGAUACCAGCUGGCUGCAACUGUUUAUUAAAAACACAGCACUGUGCAAACACGAAAGUGGACGUAUACGGUGUGACGCCUGCCCGGUGC
rnacentral:rRNA from 1 species